rnacentral:tRNA from 1 species
GGGGCUAUAGCUCAGUGGUAGAGCACUUGCUCAGUAUGUGCAAGGCCCUGGGUUCCAUCCCCAGUACCUCA